ensembl:lncRNA
CUUCAGCUCAUUUGUAAAUUUUUAUUACAUUUUUUAUUCAUAACAGCAAGAAUCAAAUAUAGCAAUGCAGGCCCCAUGAAAAUAUGUGUCGGGAACUUUUCUCUUAACUACAUCCAUCCAUCAAAGUUGGCAUAGUGCACCACAAGUUAAAUUAACUCUCUUCAUGACUUGAAUUAUUGCAUGAUGUUUUAGUUAAUAAAACCACAGCAAACACAUUCCUGUCAGCUUCAGAAGGUACCAUUCCCCCACCUCUUCAUCAUUUCUGAUUUCUUCUCAUAUUUCAUUCGGAUGAGAUUGUGUAUUUUAUGGCUUUAGACUGUUGCAAUCAAUGGUUUUCUCUACACACUCUUUCCAGAGGAGGUGGCAAACAUUGCAAAAUACGCGACACAUCCUUUCAGGGGGGGCUGGAACAGUAAAAACAAGCAGAAACAAACUGCAGCAGAAGACAGAAUACAUCAUAUUAGCACUACAAGCAGAGAAAACAAACAACAAAUGAAAAAAAGUUCAGUUUACAUUAUAUCAUAAAUGUAAGCAUGCGUGCUUGUAGGAGAUGAGAGAUGACAAAGAUGAUCAGGUCAAAAUUUCAAACUGAGGACUUAAUGACCAAAGUACCAAGCAAUAUUCCAAUCUGUGAUUAUUCUUAAAUUCUGCCUGAUGUUCAACUACAUUCCUGUUUGGUCAGUUUCAUCUACUAGAAGCACAGCUUACAGAAACAUAAAGAACAUACUUAUAGCUGUGGUGUUUGUGUUGCAUGUAUUUUAACUCUCCAAGUGGUGACACUUUAGUGAGUAUACUCUCAGGAAUUUUUUUUCUUUUAAAUAAACCACUAUUCUAUUUUUGUGUUUUUUAAUAUAUAUUUUAUUCCAUUACAUUGAUAGAAUAUUGUAUACUGUAAAUACAUCUUUCUUUGUAAAUGUUUUCUUAUUCAAUAUUACUGUGUUGUGAUUUUUUUUUUAAUGGUAUAUGUAUUUCCUUUAACAUGCACUCCUCUCUGAGUAAAGUAAAGAGACAGGACGUGUUGUGAUUGGUUGGGCCUGGGAGGGCGUGGCCAUGACACACAGACCUGUCAGUACAGGCAGGUUAGGGGACCAGACAAACCCAGUCAGGCCCUUACGCUGGAGGGUAUAGUGGACGCCUCCUCCGGAAGGUUACCUGGCAAACUACAAGCUGCUGACAAAAAAGAAGAGCAACACUUGGCCUUUUCUGAAAGGGGUAGGAGAGUGAGAACUCAGUGCCCUUUUGAUGCAAGCAAUUUUGUUCAGCCUUUCAUAAGAUUUUUUUGUUAUCCUAGCAAAAUUCCUUGUCGUUAUAGACAUUAUGUUUUUUUUAUUCAAAAUAAGAUCUCAAUAUACACGAUUCUCUCUUUUUUGACUAUGUACAGAAGUGCAAAAAAGUCAACCUUUGUCACCUUUUAUCGCCUCGAGAUUCCCCACCCCACCCUUGUUGUUUGCAGUUGGUUGAGUAAGACGUGAGCGUGCAGACUCAGCUCCUUACUCACCACGUUCACCUGACCCCACCAGCAACGCCCCGAAAAGUGAUCAAAUAUGCAGCUUGUUUUCCAACAUGGCCCAAUUUCCAGGGAGAGUAAAAAUAUUAAAACAAUAGUUACUAUUUGAAAUGGAUACAGUAGAAAAUAACGUCUUUACUCUAAACAUCUAAGAACUAGAUUUUUAUAAUAGUCUUUUUUUUCUUAUAUGACUAGUUACAAACCUUACAAUCAUUAAAAUAUUACUCGGUUAGUGGCGUUGGUUGCCACAGUGACAACUCAGCCUCUCUGUUCUAUUAUUUCAUCACUGUUAGAUACUCAUAUAAAACAUCUUUGUUCAAAGAACACAAAAAAGACUAGAGAAAUGAACAAUAUGCAUACAGUUCAACAAUAUGCAUAACGUAGAAAAUAUUGAGUUUACAAUCAUAAUCAUACUAAAAUUAACAUUACAUGGAAUUUCAGGAAACUGUGCAUGAGGAACACACAAACACACACUGUACCUUAUAUUCAUUAUAAGAAAGAUAAAUAUAAUAAGCAAAACUAAAAAUCUGAACUAAUAUCAAAAUAUCAUCCAAACAAAACAAAACAAAACACUCCUCGUCUAAGGAAGAAGAAGAAAAAACUACAAGAAAGUUAAGAAAACACUGACGAAAAAAGUGACAAUUAUGUAGUGCUGUGUGUGUGUUAAUAUGGCGUGGAUUAGGCAACUGGAUGGUUCAGAAUGGCAUGUUGCAUUGUGCUGACCCGAUGGUACAUUCUAAGGCUUUGGAUGAGUAAUACAAUCGUUUAUAUUCUUGCCACUUUCCCUGUAUUAUCCACCAAUUUAAAUAUGCCUGAAGAACACCCAAACAAACACCCAAAAAACAAAGAGUUCUAGAGAUCUACUCUAAAGACCUGAUUCUUCUUUGGACCGGUAAAGUUUUCAAAUUUAGCCCCACUAGUCUACCCCCAUAAUACCUAAUAACAGUGACACAAAAAGACUUUGGUGGACUAUCUGAAAAAACAGGUCUCAGGUUUUAAAAACAAAUAUUCUUAAAUAUGUCAAGACUGUAUAUACUCUACAUUGACUCUACUUUGACAACCUGCCUUUAAAAUAUACUUAACAAAUACAAAUGAAAAACAAAUCAGGUCAUACAGGUCACAUAUCCAUCACUAGUUGCACUGUAAGGUUUUGACUUCUGUCUCACAGCAGUUUGGACUCAAUCGCUCUGUGGCUUCAAAGCUAUUCAUCACACAUCUCACACAGGCCAAAACCCCACAUGUACUACUCAUCUGACUUCUAGAGUCAGCAGAGAUCUGCGUCAGUACAGAUCCAGUCAUUUCAUGUCUAAACGACUGACAUCAACAACAAAGUCAAAGAAAAAAAAUAUUUAAAAGCUAUUUCAUUCAGUAGGAGAUCUGAGUAAAGCAGACCAUCUGGGAGAUCUAAUUAGCAGUGGUGCUAUUGGGAAUCACAGGUAAUGACGGGUCACGACGUUGGACACUACAUGCUGUCCGAGAGAGCAAACAGACGUAUUAAAGGGAAUUGUUGAAUCGAACACUUUGUAACACUGCUUAAAUACCAUUCAUGUGUUUUGAGAUGUAUGGCACUUUACAGGGACGCCUGCAAGGUUAAAGACGUGUGCUUAAGAGAUAUAAAGGUAGGCUACAAAGGUUUGAAAGACACCUCACAGACAUUCAGUUGCCAUUUUGCCUCUGAGUGCACCCAUGUAAAUUUCCUUAUCACUGGCUGAAGAAAAUAAAACCAUAAACAAAAUCGUUGUGCAUGCAUAUGUGAUUCAGUCAGAUUAUUCCUCUCUUUUACCUCAACUGAAAUACAAGGUGCACCUUUGUGUAAACAAAUAAACACAUUUAGGUCGAUGACCAACAACCGAUGAAGAAACAAACAACAUAAAUCAUGAUUCUUGGUCAAUGGACAUACCAGUUGAGUGGACUCCUCCUCCUCCGACCGCUCCACACGUUUACCUUAAUGUUGACAUUCAAAGUGUGUCUGGUGAAUAAAGGUUAGUUGCCUCUACAGAACGAAAGGCAGUCUUUGAUGCAAUGAUGUUCUUUUUCUGUUGUCGUGUAGUAGUGUGCAUGAAGUACACAUGAAAACACUUCUAACAAACUGUGCCUCCUAUGUUAACAUGCAGAUUUAUUCCAAACCAGUUUAGAUUUGGUUUUUCCAUUUCGCUCUUGAUGUUACGGGCAUGAAGGGUGACCGUUAAUCGUGAACUCGACACCAGCACGCUUCAGUUCCAUCUGAGGAAAAAAGUCAACAAAAUAGAGGAAAUUAG